rnacentral:rRNA from 1 species
AGUGAACGCUGGCGGUAGGCCUAACACAUGCAAGUCGAACGGCAGCACAGUAAGAGCUUGCUCUUACGGGUGGCGAGUGGCGGACGGGUGAGGAAUACAUCGGAAUCUACUUUUUCGUGGGGGAUAACGUAGGGAAACUUACGCUAAUACCGCAUACGACCUACGGGUGAAAGCAGGGGAUCUUCGGACCUUGCGCGAUUGAAUGAGCCGAUGUCGGAUUAGCUAGUUGGCGGGGUAAAGGCCCACCAAGGCGACGAUCCGUAGCUGGUCUGAGAGGAUGAUCAGCCACGAUGGAACUGAGACACGGUCCAGACGCCUACGGGAGGCAGCAGUGGGGAAUAUUGGACAAUGGGCGCAAGCCUGAUCCAGCCAUACCGCGUGGGUGAAGAAGGCCUUCGGGUGGUAAAGCCCUUUUGUUGGGAAAGAAAAGCAGCAGGUUAAGACCCCGCUGUUCGGACGGUACCCAAAGAAUAAGCACCGGCUAACUUCGU